GGGUUGUGAGGUUAAGCGACUAAGCGUACACGGUGGAUGCCCUGGCAGUCAGAGGCGAUGAAGGACGUGCUAAUCUGCGAUAAGCGUCGGUAAGGUGAUAUGAACCGUUAUAACCGGCGAUUUCCGAAUGGGGAAACCCAGUGUGAUUCGUCACACUAUCAUUAACUGAAUCCAUAGGUUAAUGAGGCGAACCGGGGGAACUGAAACAUCUAAGUACCCCGAGGAAAAGAAAUCAACCGAGAUUCCCCCAGUAGCGGCGAGCGAACGGGGAGGAGCCCAGAGCCUGAAUCAGUGUGUGUGUUAGUGGAAGCGUUUGGAAAGGCGCGCGAUACAGGGUGACAGCCCCGUACACAAAAAUGCACAUGCUGUGAGCUCGAUGAGUAGGGCGGGACACGUG
rnacentral:rRNA from 1 species